AAUCAACGCUGGCGGCGUGCCUCAGACACGCAAGUCGAACGAUUAAAGCUCUCUUCGGAGAGUGUAUAGAGUGGCGCACGGGUGAGUAACACGUAAGUAAUCUACCCUCGAGUGGGGAAUAACAACCGGAAACGGUUGCUAAUACCGCAUAAUGCAGCGGCACCGCAAGGUGACAGUUGUUAAAGAUUUAUCGCUUGAGGAGGAGCUUGCGGCAGAUUAGCUAGUUGGUAGGGUAACGGCUUACCAAGGCUACGAUCUGUAACCGGUCUAAGAGGACGGUCGGUCACACUGACACUGAAUAACGGGUCAGACUCCCACGGGAGGCAGCAGUCGGGAAUUUUGGGCAAUGGGCGAAAGCCUGACCCAGCAACGCCGCGUGAAGGAUGAAGUAUUUCGGUAUGUAAACUUCGAAAGAAUAGGAAGAAUUAAUGACGGUACUAUUUAUAAGGUCCGGCUAACUACGUG
rnacentral:rRNA from 1 species